UAGGGAAUCUUCGGCAAUGGACGAAAGUCUGACCGAGCAACGCCGCGUGAGUGAAGAAGGUUUUCGGAUCGUAAAACUCUGUUGUAGAGAAGAACAAGGACGUUAGUAACUGAACGUCCCCUGACGGUAUCUAACCAGAAAGCCACGGCUAACUACGUGCCAGCAGCCGCGGUAAUACGUAGGUGGCAAGCGUUGUCCGGCUUUAUUGGGCGUAAAGCGAGCGGAGGCGGUUUCUUAAGUCUGAUGUGAAAGCCCCCGGCUCAACCGGGGAGGGUCAUUGGAAACUGGGAGACUUGAGUGCAGAAGAGGAGAGUGGAAUUCCAUGUGUAGCGGGGAAAUGAGUUGAUAUAUGGAGGAACACCAGUGGCGAAGGCGGCUCUCUGGUCUGUGACUGACGCUGAGGCUCGAAAGCGUGGGGAGCAAACAGG
rnacentral:rRNA from 1 species